UCAAUGUAUACCUCUACGCUAAUCUACGACGUGCUGAUUUCACCAACAUCGAGUGACGUUUAACCUAGGAAUAAAUUGGACGUAAUGACAGUUUCUUUAUUGAAAACCUACC